GUGGGUUUUGGCGCUCCAUAUCAUGCUCCUCGACUCCAAAUCACAAAACUUAACAAGGAUUGGCCUUGGAAUGGAUCUUGUGGUGUUAAGCUGACCCAACCGAUGGCACCGUUUAACAGAAGAAACACACCAUGAACAAGAAGGAUUUUCUUGCGGUUUCUCAUUUCCAUCUGGUCAUACAUGUCAGCAAGUGCUUCUACUUGCAACUGCAGAGACUUCAACGCAGAUAAAAU
rnacentral:misc_RNA from 1 species